UCCCUGGUGGCUCAGAUGGUAAAGCGUCUGUCUACAAUGCAGGAGACCCGGGUUCGAUCCCUGGGUGGCGAA
rnacentral:tRNA from 1 species